GACGAACGCUGGCGGCGUGCUUAACACAUGCAAGUCGAACGGAAAGGCCCUGCUUUUGUGGGGUGCUCGAGUGGCGAACGGGUGAGUAACACGUGAGUAACCUGCCCUUGACUUUGGGAUAACUUCAGGAAACUGGGGCUAAUACCGGAUAGGAGCUCCUGCUGCAUGGUGGGGGUUGGAAAGUUUCGGCGGUUGGGGAUGGACUCGCGGCUUAUCAGCUUGUUGGUGGGGUAGUGGCUUACCAAGGCUUUGACGGGUAGCCGGCCUGAGAGGGUGACCGGCCACAUUGGGACUGAGAUACGGCCCAGACUCCUACGGGAGGCAGCAGUGGGGAAUAUUGCACAAUGGGCGGAAGCCUGAUGCAGCAACGCCGCGUGCGGGAUGACGGCCUUCGGGUUGUAAACCGCCUUCGCCUGUGACGAAGCGUGGGUGACGGUAAUGGGUAAAGAAGCACCGGCUAACUACGUG
rnacentral:rRNA from 1 species